rnacentral:tRNA from 1 species
GCCACGGUGGUGGAAUUGGUAGACACGCAGGACUUAAAAUCCUGUGAUAGCAAUAUCGUGCGGGUUCGAUUCCCGCCCGUGGUACAA